CCGCGCUGCUCCCUGAGAACGGGUCCCGCAGCUGGGCAGGCGGGCGGCCUGAGGGCGCGGAGCCAUGAAGCUGUACAGCCUCAGCGUCCUCUACAAAGGCGAGGCCAAGGUGGUGCUGCUCAAAGCCGCAUACGAUGUGUCUUCCUUCAGCUUUUUCCAGAGAUCCAGGAAUUCAUGACCUUCACGAGUCAACUGAUUGUGGAGCGCUCAUCGAAAGGCACUAGAGCUUCUGUCAAAGAACAAGACUAUCUGUGCCACGUCUACGUCCGGAAUGAUAGUCUUGCAGGUGUGGUCAUUGCUGACAAUGAAUACCCAUCCCGGGUGGCCUUUACCUUGCUGGAGAAGGUGAGUUUUUUAUUUGCCUCUCCUGGACUUGGAUGAUGAAUGGGCACAUUUAUGGACUGGGACAGGGGUUGAUGGCAGUCCCUGAGACAUAAGGGAUGAAAUGAUGUGUCCAAAGUCAACACAUUUUUCAGCCCCCUUCCCUGCAACCCAAGAGACAAUUUGGCAUCCCUGUAUGGGUUUCCUCCCCGGUGCUGUCCCUCAUGUGAGCUGGGUCUAGGCCACUGAGUCAUAGCAUCUAUUCUCUGGGAUGGGACCCUCGGAGACAGCUGUGCCUUGUGUUCUCGCCCCCUGUGCUUCUGCUCAAGGAGUCUCCCUCUUGAAUGCCUUCACUCUCCCCAUUGCCUCCUGCAGUUGCUGCAUCCCUCUACCUUGAUGUCAGUCAGUUGCACCACAGAGCUUAGCACCUAAGCAUUCUUUAAAUUUUUUUGCGUACGGUGCUAAUUACUAAUAUUAACUCUUUGAAGUCAGAGGCUUCAUCCUAUACCCCAGAGCACCAAAAUACCUCCAAACACAUGGAAUCUGGUGGUUUCUUAAAUCUAGGGGACCUAAUUCUCUUUUUUAAAAAAUUGCUUUGGAAAAUUAGAGGACCAGUGCCCCUUUUUUCUGGAAAUCUGUAGUUUAAAAUUCAAAUACCUUUAUUACUCCCCAAG
rnacentral:lncRNA from 1 species